CCUACGGGGGGCAGCAGUGAGGAAUAUUGGUCAAUGGACGGAAGUCUGAACCAGCCAUGCCGCGUGCAGGAUGACGGCUCUAUGAGUUGUAAACUGCUUUUGUACAAGGGUAAACCUGAAUACGUGUAUUCUGCUGAAAGUACUGUACGAAUAAGGAUCGGCUAACUUCGUGCCAGCCGCCGCGGUAAUACGGAGGAUCCAAGCGUUAUCCGGAUUUAUUGGGUUUAAAGGGUGCGUAGGUGGAUUGAUAAGUUAGAGGUGAAAUGUCCGAGCUUAACUCGGGAACUGCCUCUAAUACUGUUGAUCUAGAGAGUAGAUGCGGUAGGCGGAAUGUAUGGUGUAGCGGUGAAAUGCUUAGAGAUCAUACAGAACACCGAUUGCGAAGGCAGCUUACCAAUCUAUAUCUGACGUUGAGGCACGAAAGCGUGGGGAGCAAACAGGAUUAGAUACCCCGGUAGUC
rnacentral:rRNA from 1 species